rnacentral:rRNA from 1 species
GGCCAUCCCGGCUUACCAACCCGAUGCAAACUACGAAUACCGAAGAAUGUUAUCACGGGAGACACACGGCGGGUGCUAACGUCCGUCGUGAAGAGGGAAACAACCCAGACCGCCAGCUAAGGUCCCAAAGUCAUGGUUAAGUGGGAAACGAUGUGGGAAGGCACAGACAGCCAGGAUGUUGGCUUAGAAGCAGCCAUCAUUUAAAGAAAGCGUAAUAGCUCACUGGUCGAGUCGGCCUGCGCGGAAGAUGUAACGGGGCUAAACCAUGCACCGAAGCUGCGGCAGCGACACUAUGUGUUGUUGGGUAGGGGAGCGUUCUGUAAGCCUGUGAAGGUGGCCUGUGAGGGUUGCUGGAGGUAUCAGAAGUGCGAAUGCUGACAUAAGUAACGAUAAAGCGGGUGAAAAGCCCGCUCGCCGGAAGACCAAGGGUUCCUGUCCAACGUUAAUCGGGGCAGGGUGAGUCGACCCCUAAGGCGAGGCCGAAAGGCGUAGUCGAUGGGAAACAGGUUAAUAUUCCUGUACUUGGUGUUACUGCGAAGGGGGGACGGAGAAGGCUAUGUCAGCCGGGCGACGGUUGUCCCGGUUUAAGCGUGUAGGCUGGUUUUCCAGGCAAAUCCGGAAAACCAAGGCUGAGGCGUGAUGACGAGGCACUACGGUGCUGAAGCGACAAAUGCCCUGCUUCCAGGAAAAGCCUCUAAGCAUCAGGUAACAUCAAAUCGUACCCCAAACCGACACAGGUGGUCAGGUAGAGAAUACCAAGGCGCUUGAGAGAACUCGGGUGAAGGAACUAGGCAAAAUGGUGCCGUAACUUCGGGAGAAGGCACGCUGAUAGGUAGGUGAAGUCCCUGCGGACGGAGCUGAAAUCAGUCGAAGAUACCAGCUGGCUGCAACUGUUUAUUAAAAACACAGCACUGUGCAAACACGAAAGUGGACGUAUACGGUGUGACGCCUGCCCGGUGCCGGAAGGUUAAUUGAUGGGGUUAGCGGCAACGCGAAGCUCUUGAUCGAAGCCCCGGUAAACGGCGGCCGUAACUAUAACGGUCCUAAGGUAGCGAAAUUCCUUGUCGGGUAAGUUCCGACCCGCACGAAAGGUGUAACGAUUUGGGCACUGUCUCAACAAAGGAUCCGGUGAAAUUGUAGUAGUCGUGAAGAUGCGACUUACCCACGCUAGGACGGAAAGACCCCGUGGAGCUUUACUGUAGGCUGAUAUUGGAUUUUGAGAUUAAAUGUACAGGAUAGUUGGGAGACUGAGAUAUCUGGAUGCCAAUCUAGGAGGAGUCACUGGUGGGAUACCAACCUUUUAAUAUCAAAGUUCUAACCAUAGCCCUUGAAUCAGGGCAUGGGACAUUGUCAGUUGGGCAGUUUGACUGGGGCGGUCGCCUCCUAAAAAGUAACGGAGGCGUUCAAAGGUUCGCUCAGAAUGGUUGGAAAUCAUUCAAAGAGUACAAAGGCAAAAGCGAGCUUAACUGCGAGACAUACAGGUCGAGCAGAGACGAAAGUCGGACUUAGUGAUCCGGUGGUACCGAGUGGAAGGGCCAUCGCUCAACGGAUAAAAGCUACCCUGGGGAUAACAGGCUAAUCUCUCCCAAGAGUCCAUAUCGACGGGAUGGUUUGGCACCUCGAUGUCGGCUCAUCACAUCCUGGGGCUGAAGUAGGUCC